AGCAGCCGCGGUAAUUCCAGCUCCAAUAGCGUAUAUUAAAGUUGUUGCAGUUAAAAAGCUCGUAGUUGAAUUUCGGGGUUAGUAGGUUGGUCAUGCCUCUGGUAUGUACUGGUCUCACUGAUUCCUCCUUCCUGAUGAGCCGUAAUGCCACUAUUGUGUGCGGGAAUUGGACUGUUACUUUGAAAAAAUUUAGAGUGUUUAAAGCAAGCUAACGCUUGAAUACAUUAGCAUGGAAUAAUGAAAUAGGACGUUCGAUCCUAUUUUGUUGGUUUCUAGGAUUGACGUAAUGAUUAAUAGGGAUAGUUGGGGGGCAUUAGUAUUCAAUUGUCAGAGGUGAAAUUCUUGGAUUUAUUGAAGACUAACUACUGCGAAAGCAUUUGCCAAGGAUGUUUUCAUUUAAUCAAGAACGAAAGUUAGGGGAUCGAAGACGAUCAGAUACCGUCGUAGUCUUAACCAUAAACUAUGCCGACUAGGGAUCGGAUGAUGUUAAUUUUUUUAAUGACUCAUUCGGCGCCUUACG
rnacentral:misc_RNA from 1 species